AAAUGGAUUAUGGAGGAUUUCUGAGUAUUUUUCAGUAGAUUUAGGUUAAGCUUUAGAAAAAGCUCUCCUGGCAUAGUCAUAGAAAAUGCUUUGCUUAUAAAAAACAUUAUAAAAGCAAGUGGAGAGAAUCUUAGUACAGCUGCUUAGUUCAUUACUGAAGAGGACUAUUCCAAAAUAAUAGCCUGAAAUAUAUUCAGAUACUAGGUAACCAAGAACCCCUUUGCUAAGCAACCCUCUGAAAAUCUGUUGCUGCUAACUUCAGUGUUACAGAUUUGAUUUCACCAUGCUGCUGGCAGAGCUGCUAAAAGAUCUUACCAGACACGGCAGUCCAAUCAGGGAUGAGAGAGGCACCUUUUAGGGCACCUUCUCCAGCCCCCACUCCAUUUGGGGUGAGCAGAGUGGAUCCUAAAAAGGGAACUCAGUCAUGAAUACAGCUUCUGGACUACUCAACUGCCUCAAACCUUGAGUAACAGGAGAGGACAAUCCCAUCUACUGAUAUCAUCAACAUGUUGCCACAAAAGCACCUGGACCUCUCUGAACCAGAUAUUAAAGGAUGUGGGUAUCCCUAAAGUCCUGCUGAGGAGCAAACCCCUCAACCAGUUCAACCCCAGCUUAUUGGAUUCAGGCAAGGAGCUGUUAUUUUGGAUCCAGAAAUUGCUUGCAAUCCAAAUCCUCUGUUUCAAAUUCCAGAGGGCAAGUUAUGACCGAUGAGAAUAUUUUUUUCCCUGUUCUUUGGGCAUCAUGCACUGCUUGCCAUCUGAACACCUGUGUGCCUUUUUGUCUCAAGUCUAGAGCUUGGCAGGUGUGAAAACUAAAGGAAAUGGUUUGGAGAGAGUACAAGAAAGGAAAAUCAUGUGACUCUUGUCUGGUUGAUAGGGGUGAUUU